rnacentral:rRNA from 1 species
UCCGUAGGCGGUGCGGCAAGUCGGGGGUAAAAUCUCUGGGCUUAACUCAGAGGCUGCCUCCGAAACUGCCGUGCUCGAGUGUGGGAGAGGCGAGCGGAAUUGCAGGUGUAGCGGUGAAAUGCGUAGAUAUCUGCAGGAACACCCGUGGCGAAGGCGGCUCGCUGGACCAUUACUGACGCUGAGGGACGAAAGCUAGGGGAGCAAACAGGAUUAGAUACCCUGGUAGUCCUAGCCCUAAACGAUCAGGACUUGGGGUGUCUCCCGUUCGGGAGACGUCCCGGAGCUAACGCGUUAAGUCCUGCGCCUGGGGAGUACGGUCGCAAGACUGAA